rnacentral:rRNA from 1 species
GAUUAAGUUAUUAAGGGCGCACGGUGGAUGCCUUGGCACUAGAAGCCGAUGAAGGACGUUACUAACGACGAUAUGCUUUGGGGAGCUGUAAGUAAGCUUUGAUCCAGAGAUUUCCGAAUGGGGAAACCCAGCAUGAGUUAUGUCAUGUUAUCGAUAUGUGAAUACAUAGCAUAUCAGAAGGCACACCCGGAGAACUGAAACAUCUUAGUACCCGGAGGAAGAGAAAGAAAAUUCGAUUCCCUUAGUAGCGGCGAGCGAAACGGGAAGAGCCCAAACCAACAAGCUUGCUUGUUGGGGUUGUAGGACACUCUAUACGGAGUUACAAAGGACGACAUUAGACGAAUCAUCUGGAAAGAUGAAUCAAAGAAGGUAAUAAUCCUGUAGUCGAAAAUGUUGUCUCUCUUGAGUGGAUCCUGAGUACGACGGAGCACGUGAAAUUCCGUCGGAAUCUGGGAGGACCAUCUCCUAAGGCUAAAUACUCUCUAGUGACCGAUAGUGAACCAGUACCGUGAGGGAAAGGUGAAAAGCACCCCGGAAGGGGAGUGAAAUAGAACCUGAAACCGUGUGCUUACAAGUAGUCAGAGCCCGUUAAUGGGUGAUGGCGUGCCUUUUGUAGAAUGAACCGGCGAGUUACGAUUUGAUGCAAGGUUAAGCAGUAAAUGUGGAGCCGUAGCGAAAGCGAGUCUGAAUAGGGCGUUUAGUAUUUGGUCGUAGACCCGAAACCAGGUGAUCUACCCUUGGUCAGGUUG